rnacentral:lncRNA from 1 species
AUUGACUUUGUAAGAGCUUUAAAAAGUCAAAAUUUAUUUAGGAUUUGGUUAGGAUUUGUUUAAGUUUUGAUUAGAGUUUGGUUAUAGUUUAUUUAGGAUUUGAUUAGAAUUUGAUUAGGAUUUCUUAAGAUUGACUAGGAUUUAUUUAGGAUUUGAUUGGAAUUUAAUUAGGAUUUGAUUAAGAUUUGAUUUGAUUUUGACUAGGAUUUGAUUAGGAUUUUAUUUGGUUUUGAUUAGGAUUUAAUUAAGAUUUUUAUUUUAAUAUUUUAUUAAGAUUUCUAUUUUAGUAUAUUUUUUAAUUUCUAUGUUAUUUCUUUAUGAUUUUUUUAAAAGAUUUUAGGAAUACAUUGUGUUUCUUAUGUAAUUCGUUUGAAAUUUUAAUUGAAUUUGAUUGAUGCUUGAUUAUAUUUAUUAAUCUUUAAUUGUAAUUUGUUUAAGAAUCUAUUGGAGUUGUUAAGACUUGUUGUUGCAAUUUUCUUUUUAUCUUCUAUAGCCAAGUGCCUAGUACAUUUUCAAGCCAAACGCCAUAUAUUAUGAUAUAUUUUGAUGAAUUCCAGAUGAAAAGCUUGAGAUAGAAGAUAUUUGGAAUAUUUUUUUGAUUUAUAUGAAUUAUGGAGAAAG